rnacentral:rRNA from 1 species
GGGGAAUAUUGGGCAAUGGACGAAAGUCUGACCCAGCAACGCCGCGUGAAGGAAGAAGGCUUUCGGGUUGUAAACUUCUUUGACAGGGGAAGAGUAGAAGACGGUACCCUGAAAACAAGCCACGGCUAACUACGUGCCAGCAGCCGCGGUAAUACGUAGGUGGCAAGCGUUGUCCGGAUUUACUGGGUGUAAAGGGCGUGUAGCUGGGUCGGCAAGUCAGAUGUGAAAUCUGGAGGCUCAACCUCCAAACUGCAUUUGAAACUGUUGAUCUUGAGUAUCGGAGAGGUAAUCGGAAUUCCUAGUGUAGCGGUGAAAUGCGUAGAUAUUAGGAAGAACACCAGUGGCGAAGGCGGAUUACUGGACGACAACUGACGGUGAGGCGCGAAAGCGUGGGGAGCAAACA